AUCCAGAAUUAUAGCCACGUUAAUAACGUUUGUAAAAAACCAAACCGUUUGUAAAUCCGUCAAGAAUUCAGCAAGUUACGAGCAUUUUAGUUGGCGUAUGUCACUCACCUUCCGUCCACAGCAGCAGGGAGCAGCACUAUGGCAGCACUGACCUAAGAUGGCCGCCAAGUGACGACACAGCUGACUCCGCCUUGAGCCAUCUAGCCUUUAUAUACAUAUCUAUGGGUGCAACCCUACUCUGGAGGGAGGGAGUUACCAUGGAAACGAAGCGACAAGAGUUCGGCAAAGCUCCGUGUCUCUAUGGUUUUCUUCACUGUUUUCACAAAUUGCUGGUGUUGUGGGUUUGAAAAAAGUCAAUUAGCAUCUCGACCGUUUUCUGAAGAGGAGUGACAAUAUUACCCCUCUAUAAUAGAAAAGAAGCUCAAGAUUUCAGCAUUUGUAAAGGGAGCUGCUCACAGAGAUGUUGAAUGAAAACUUAGUUAUUUAAAGAAGGUUUUGACAUCCAAACUGCACACUAAAAAUGGUUUGCUCUGCGACAAAUUGCUUGUUAUGUUUGUAGAUUUCUCCAUCCUGAUGGCCAUGCAGCAGAGUUCAAGCAGACCUGUCAGAAAACACCUCUAAGGUGCUAUGAACCAUAUGGCUAGAUACCCAUACAGGUUACAGAAGCUCCAGUAUGGAUCCAGCCUCACUUGUGAAGACUUCAGAUGACUCCAACACUCACAGAGACUAUUGUAAUCCCUGCAACGAACCAUAAGUUUGCAGAUUUGCAACCCACUUUAUAUUUUACAAUAAAUGGUAAUAUUUGAAUGGAUAAUGUUUACUUUUUUCUUUAGUUAAACUUGUACUGAGAUAUUCCCAUUUAUUUGUCCACAAUACUCUUAUGAAUACAUAUAUUACAGACAUUGUAACAAUAUAAGGUGGGUUGAAAAUCUGUAAACUUAACCUAUAAUAAUAAUUGUCUGUUUAACUGAGCAUGACUUGAAACACAUGACUUGCAUUAUCUUAGAGCUAUUGCAUAUGAACAUUACUUUGUUCCUUAAUGAGAUAAACGCUUACCCCUUGUUUCACAGACAAGACUUAAGCUUAGUCCUGGACCAAGACACGCGUUUGAGCUGUCUCAAGAUACAAACAAUCAGUGAGGGCUUGUGACUGCUUUUCUGAGGGGCGCAAAUGAAAAUAUGUGUUCUGAGUGUCAUGUGUAUUGCUCGUUUUUUCAAAAUAUGUGUUUGUUGCGUCAUGUGAACCAUGUGCAUCAUGUCUUUUGUCAAAAUAAGUGCCUGCUGCACACGCGUCAAAAGCGUUUAUGAUAAAAGGGACACUCACAUUCACAAGACACUCCCUUAACCGUAAACUCUGAUUAUGCAUGAGAUUAUGCGAGUAUCUGGCAAAAUCUUUUGUCAUAAACCCUUUAGAGGCAUCUGCAGCAGGCACAUAUUUUGACAAGGCAUGCGAUGCACACAGGUUCACUCGACACGCCAAACACAUAUCUUGAAAUUACAAACUACACACAUGACAGGCUAUGUUGUUACGAACUUUGCAUCAUGCCCACUCAAAAAAGGAGUCACCAGCCGCCACUGCACACCACUAACAUCUUUUUUUUAAAGCAUGUUUAUUAAAGAUGCUUAAACCAGUGGUUCUCAAACUGGGGGCCGUGGCCCUAGGGGACCCUGAGAUUCUUUGUAAUUAAACUUCAGAAAAAUAAACCACUUAACCAACAGCACCACAUUGUAUAAUUGAAUAUGUUUUGUUUAAUAAAAAUGUACAUUUUUUGGAAUGUUUUAUGUCAUACAUUUUCUUUUGGGGGGGGGCAUAAAGGGAUGCACCGUACACAAGGGGGGCCGCAAGCAGAAUAAGUUUGAGAACCACUGGCUUAAACUUCUUAAUUGAACUAAGGCCUAGGCCUGUACAGUAUGUUGCUUAAUGAAUUAAGGCAGUUGAAUCAAAAGAUUAAAUUCGGUAUACACUUUAUGGUGGUUUCCUGAACAGGAGUUAGCUUAAACCAGGACUAGGCCUUAGUUUAAUUAGGAAACUAGUUUUAACAAACAUCCCUUCCUUACUAAAAAUAUUACUUCUGUGCAUUUUCAGGCAAAACAAAAGGCACUGAUGUAUUUUAAGAUAUGUUAAUGCAAGAUGUUUUCAGUUUGGACAGCUUUUAAAUUUAACUGCCCCUUUAUUAUUAAAACAUACUAUGUAAGGGCAAGCAGAUUGGCCAAGAAAAUAAAUGCUUUAAAUUACAGUUUGUUUUACCAUAAUAGAAAAAUUUAUUAAUUAGGUGUAUUCUGAAUAUUAUCUUGUCAUAUUAUUAUCUUAAUGCAUUAAGCUACGUUAAGUGUCUUAUUGAUUAAAACAUUUUAUUAUUGGCAAAUCUGCUUACUGUUACAUGAUUUAUUAAUAAAUUAAUGUUUUAAAUCAGCUGUUCUGCAUUAAGCAAUGUUAAGAAAAUUAGUCCCAGGAAGUCCUGGGUAUGGUUGUGUUCUUACCGAUAUUUUGAGGAUCUUUUCAUUUGUUAAAUAUAUGUAAAAUCACCAUAAAGGGUAAUCAACACUUAUGAUUUCUGAAAUAAAAUAAUAAUGACCCGAUGAGAGGUUUCUUUCCGACAGUGAUGAUAUAUUGUUUCACAAGACUUAUUACAUUUUUAGUUAAACACACUACAAUGAUUUUAAUUACCGUUCAAAGUGUUACAUUUCUUUUGCAUUUUGUUCAGGUUUUUUGCAUGGUUUUAAUUGUUUUUUUAUAAUAUUUAUAAUUAUAUCACUGCUAUCAAAUAGAUGUUUUGUCAUAUUAUGUUGCAUUAAAUUAAAAACCUUGUUGUAGGUCUUGGAAAUUUGAUUACCU